AAGAGAUGAUCCUUCAGAAAACAAACGUAGAAGAGUAGCAGUACCGUUGAAUGUUGAGAAGUGUCAAGAGCAGCUUCAGUCUUAUUACGACACCUUCAGUAAGGUGAAAGUCGUUCCACGAUAAAGGGAUCGCAAAGGGAAUGUCAAACCUGAAGAAGAAUGGCCAACAGAUGAAUACUGGAGAAAAAGUUGGAGCUUCGUCCAUGGAUCAGAGCAAGAACCAGAUCCUGGGUCAGUUACCAACUCAGGUGACGAGGAGGAACCUCGGUCCUGCCUGGAAACAUAACUGACCAGGACUGGCUCAGUAGACCGCCUGUAACUAGUGAAACUUACCAUUGGUCAGAACUGGCUGGCCAGACCAGUCCAUCCAUUGAGAGAAUUCUUUCAGAUCUGUUCAGUAAGAGAAGUCAAUACCUAAAUUGUAUUGACUGUAUUGAAAUUUGAAAACAAGUUUGGGAAACCUGACUAGACAAGGCACAUUUGAAGAUGAUUGGUUGGUCUGGUAGGUUUCUGACUAAUCGUGAGAGACUUCAUUGUUGUGAUCAAAUAAACAAACAAUCAACGGUUGGAUAAAAAAUGAGGAAAUAAAUAUUUUAGAAUCACUUAGCUUAGGUAAAUUGGUACCCUCACCAAAAUGGGGACUCCCUUCCACAACAUCGGUGAGAACAUGUGGGAUGUUUCUCUGGAGUCAGAGUGUAUUGUCCUUGAAAUUGAUCGUUGAUUUGGAUAUAUUUUGAUUUUAGGCUAUUUUACGAUGUUCCCUUAUGUUGGUUGUAGUUUUGAUUUACAGCUUUGAGUUUCAAAACUUAAUUUUCAUGUUACUGAGUUAGAGACUCUGAGGUAUUUUUGUCAUUUUUCUUUUUUAAUUUACUUUGGUUGGUUUUUUCCUGCCCAGAUAAUUGAUUACUUCAUCAGGCUGACUGUGCAGAUAAUUCUCUCAUUUCUAUUGAUUAAAAAAGAGAAGUCAUGAAUGCAGCCAAUCUCCAUAAAAUAUUAAAUAUUUUAAUGUGGCAAAGAGCAAAACCUCAAUGUUUGAUGGAAGUCUUCACUAAAAGCCAAAAACGUGAAGAUAAAUUUCGUGAUUUAGGAUCGGUAUUUUUAUUUUCAUGGCGUUCGCCAUGCUGUGAACAAAUUUAGCUGAUUUGUUAAUACAGAACAGGCUUCUGAUUGCCUUAAUUUCCAAACAUUCCAUUUGAGAUUAAUGUAAAUAGUGCAAUGUGGUUGACAUUUCGUCGUCAAAGCUUUUAAAACUCUGUUGAGUGUGGCAAAAGAAGAGAGACUGUGUUUGACAAGUAUUUCCUUGACUCUGAAAUGUAAAAUAAUUUAACUCAGUAUUGUAUUGGUUGUUCUCUCAAAACUGUCAAGCGAGUGACAGUUAAGUUAUAGUGCUAUUGUGGCUGUACACUGUGCACAUUGUAAGAUACGAACUCUAUCUCGUGAUUUUUAUAUAUUGAGUCAUUAAUGCUGAUUUUUCAGGGAUAAGCCCUGUUUUCAAGUGCUCAGUUUUGCAACUGUCCAUGGUGAACUAAACUAAUUUAUAUUAAAUUAGAAAAAACGAAACCCCUGUGAGUGCUGUGAUGUCAGUAAAGGUCAUCACCACGAACCAACUAGAUCAUUAGGUUUCAUCCACACUGUUGUGACUGGCUGCUUCAGGCCCGCUCUGUUUAUACAACUGCUGAAUUGAAUUUACAUGCUCCAAUUGAUCAAAUAGAAGAGGAUUACUGUAUUGAUGGGAGGACAGUCCAUGGAAAGUUACCCACCCUUCCCCCC